rnacentral:misc_RNA from 1 species
UCCGAGUUGUCCCCGGCAGUCUCCUAUGAGUCCCCGACAUAACUCGCUGGUAACAUAGGACAAGGGUUGCGCUCGUUGCGGGACUUAACCCAACAUCUCACGACACGAGCUGACGACAACCAUGCACCACCUGUACACCGACCUUGCGGGGCACCCAUCUCUGGAUGUUUCCGGUGUAUGUCAAGCCUUGGUAAGGUUCUUCGCGUUGCAUCGAAUUAAUCCGCAUGCUCCGCCGCUUGUGCGGGCCCCCGUCAAUUCCUUUGAGUUUUAGCCUUGCGGCCGUACUCCCCAGGCGGGGCACUUAAUGCGUUAGCUGCGGCACAGAGACCGUGGAAUGGCCCCCACACCUAGUGCUCACCGUUUACGGCGUGGACUAC